rnacentral:rRNA from 1 species
ACAACUUUCAGCAACGGAUCUCUUGGCUCUCGCAUCGAUGAAGAACGCAGCGAAAUGCGAUAAGUAAUGUGAAUUGCAGAAUUCAGUGAAUCAUCGAAUCUUUGAACGCACCUUGCGCUCCUUGGUAUUCCGAGGAGCAUGCCUGUUUGAGUGUCAUUU